ACUCAAGACCUGACCACCAUGGGACCUGGCCCGGCUGGGGGAGGAGUUCAGUGGCCUAGCCUAGCUUAGGCCUGUUUGUCCAUCCUCCCUGGCUCCGGGUCCGCAGUGCCACUAACAAGAUCCUCCACCUGCCCAGACCGCUGCAAAGCGCUAGAGCCUAAACGGGUCGCGUCUCAGAAGACCGUGCUUUACAACCCUUAAUGUGCAUAAAAUAAACUGGUGUCCCACGGAACAUGCCGCCUUCUCCCACGCGGGCCGAGCGGAUUGUGAACCGGAUUUUCGGCCAGCGCAGGAAUUGGAGAAAAGCGGGAUGGAGACGCUAAAGGAACAGUGUCAAACGCCACGCUUUCAAGGGGCACAUGACGGCUGCAGACACUCAAGCCCUUAAAAGAAGCAUUUAAACUUGGGAGGAGUACGGAUGGAACUCAGAGGCACACCAGUUAGUGUGAACAACACGCGCGGGGACUUUGCGGGAGAGCUCACAAUUCCGGAGUGCACGGGGACCCGAGGUGGCUCCGCCCCGCCUCACUCCAGUCAAACUUCAGUCUCUGCCGGGUGUAAAGGCAUCUCUGAGCUCCCAGGGCCCGCGCGUCGCCUGUGCAAACCCUCUGCUGUGUGGCCUUGUAUCUUUAGCUCCGAGUUUCCUGUCGGGCCAGGAGUAUCAGCGCGCACACCAAAUCUGCUCUGGGAGAGGACCGGGUGAACCUCAGAAUCCAGCCAUUCUCCUUUGGUCCAACUACUCCACUUCCAGCCCGCAAGGAACCGGAGUGGGACUGCUUUACGACCUUAGCCAACACAGGAAAGCCAAGGGACAUGCUGGAAUGACAGAUGGGUGCUACCACACAGCACUCUUGACCGGAAACCGAGAUUACCUACUUUUGGGCUUCACUGUAUACCCAAGCAUGAAGGAGGGUGACUCUGUGCCUGACAAUAUUUAUGUAACGUGGGUUGGGUUUAUGAGGUCCUGCCAGGUUGGAGCUGUCAACUCUUUCUGCUCUCAUUGUAUUAAUAUAUUCCAGGUUGAAUAUUCCUGACUAAAAGCCCAGAUGCCCACGGUAUGAAACAACGGCCCCUGUUCCCACAUACUGGGGCUCUGUGUGCCCAUCAAACAGAAAGGGCAAUAACA